rnacentral:tRNA from 1 species
GAUAGAGUAGAAUAAGAAGUUUUUUAGGUUCAUACCCUGAGGGUUUUUCUAUUA